rnacentral:rRNA from 1 species
UACGAAGGGUGCUAGCGUUGUUCGGAAUCACUGGGCGUAAAGCGCGCGUAGGCGGCUUUUCAAGUCAGGGGUGAAAUCCCACGGCUCAACCGUGGAAUUGCCUUUGAAACUGUAAAGCUAGAGUGUCGGAGGGGAUAGCGGAAUUGCUAAUGUAGAGGUGAAAUUCGUAGAUAUUAGCAGGAACACCGGUGGCGAAGGCGGCUAUCUGGACGACAACUGACGCUGAGGCGCGAAAGCGUGGGGAUCAAACAGG